rnacentral:lncRNA from 1 species
AAAUCUUCAUCAUGAAAGGAUAAAACCAAGGAUAUUUCUAAGGAGCCCACUAACAAAUCUUGUCCUCAUUCUUCUUCUAACCAUUCCUCCUCCCCACCUAAAUCUCCUUCUAGACCAAGUAACAUUAAAUGUUUUAAAUGCUUAGGACAUGGUCAUAUAGCGUCUGCCUACCCCACUAAAAAGGCAACAUGCAUUGAGGGUGAAGCCAUUGUCACUAAUGAGUCUACCUCUUCCUUACCUUCACCUACUUAUAACUCUUCUUCCUCAUCAAGUGAAGAAAAAGAGAAUGUUAUGCUUCAUUGUUUAAAUAAGGACAUUCAAGAUAGUCAAGAGGAGAUAAUACAAGAAGAAAAUGAGAGGAAA